UAGGGAAUCUUCCACAAUGGACGCAAGUCUGAUGGAGCAACGCCGCGUGAGUGAAGAAGGUCUUCGGAUCGUAAACUCUGUUGUUAGAGAAGAACACGAGUGAGAGUAACUGUUCAUUCGAUGACGGCAUCUAACCAGUAAGUCACGGCUAACUACGUGCCAG
rnacentral:rRNA from 1 species